rnacentral:rRNA from 1 species
GACGGGUGAGUAACACGUGGGCAACCUGCCUGUAAGACUGGGAUAACUUCGGGAAACCGAAGCUAAUACCGGAUAGGAUCUUCUCCUUCAUGGGAGAUGAUUGAAAGAUGGUUUCGGCUAUCACUUACAGAUGGGCCCGCGGUGCAUUAGCUAGUUGGUGAGGUAACGGCUCACCAAGGCAACGAUGCAUAGCCGACCUGAGAGGGUGAUCGGCCACACUGGGACUGAGACACGGCCCAGACUCCUACGGGAGGCAGCAGUAGGGAAUCUUCCGCAAUGGACGAAAGUCUGACGGAGCAACGCCGCGUGAGUGAUGAAGGCUUUCGGGUCGUAAAACUCUGUUGUUAGGGAAGAACAAGUACGAGAGUAACUGCUCGUACCUUGACGGUACCUAACCAGAAAGCCACGGCUAACUACGUGCCAGCAGCCGCGGUAAUACGUAGGUGGCAAGCGUUAUCCGGAAUUAUUGGGCGUAAAGCGCGCGCAGGCGGUUUCUUAAGUCUGAUGUGAAAGCCCACGGCUCAACCGUGGAGGGUCAUUGGAAACUGGGGAACUUGAGUGCA